GACGAACGCUGGCGGCGUGCUUAACACAUGCAAGUCGAACGGAAAGGCCCUGCUUUUGUGGGGUGCUCGAGUGGCGAACGGGUGAGUAACACGUGAGUAACCUGCCCUUGACUUCGGGAUAACUUCAGGAAACUGGGGCUAAUACCGGAUAGGAGCUCCUGCUGCAUGGUGGGGGUUGGAAAGUUUCGGCGGUUGGGGAUGGACUCGCGGCUUAUCAGCUUGUUGGUGGGGUAGUGGCUUACCAAGGCUUUGACGGGUAGCCGGCCUGGGAGGGUGACCGGCCACAUUGGGACUGAGAUACGGCCCAGACUCCUACGGGAGGCAGCAGUGGGGAAUAUUGCACAAUGGGCGGAAGCCUGAUGCAGCAACGCCGCGUGCGGGAUGACGGCCUUCGGGUUGUAAACCGCUUUCGCCUGUGACGAAGCGUGAGUGACGGUAAUGGGUAAAGAAGCACCGGCUAACUACGUG
rnacentral:rRNA from 1 species